rnacentral:rRNA from 1 species
UGACGGAGCAACGCCGCNUGAGCGAUGAAGGCCUUCGGGUCGUAAAGCUCUGUUGUCAGGGAAGAACAAGUAUCGGAGUAACUGCCGGUACCUUGACGGUACCUGACCAGAAAGCCACGGCUAACUACGUGCCAGCAGCCGCGGUAAUACGUAGGUGGCAAGCGUUGUCCGGAAUUAUUGGGCGUAAAGCGCGCGCAGGCGGUUCCUUAAGUCUGAUGUGAAAGCCCCCGGCUCAACCGGGGAGGGUCAUUGGAAACUGGGGAACUUGAGUGCAGAAGAGGAGAGCGGAAUUCCACGUGUAGCGGUGAAAUGCGUAGAGAUGUGGAGGAACACCAGUGGCGAAGGCGGCUCUCUGGUCUGUAACUGACGCUGAGGCGCGAAAGCGUGGGGAGCGAACAGGAUUAGAUACCCUGGUAGUCCACGCCGUAAACGAUGAGUGCUAAGUGUUAGAGGGUUUCCGCCCUUUAGUGCUGCAGCAAACGCAUUAAGCACUCCGCCUGGGGAGUACGGCCGCAAGGCUGAAACUCAAAGGAAUUGACGGGGGCCCGCACAAGCGGUGGAGCAUGUGGUUUAAUUCGAAGCAACGCGAAGAACCUUACCAGGUCUUGACAUCCUCUGACAACCCUAGAGAUAGGGCGUUCCCCUUCGGGGGACAGAGUGACAGGUGGUGCAUGGUUGUCGUCAGCUCGUGUCGUGAGAUGUUGGGUUAAGUCCCGCAACGAGCGCAACCCUUGAUCUUAGUUGCCAGCAUUAAGUUGGGCACUCUAAGGUGACUGCCGGUGACAAACCGGAG